UUGGGUAGGGGAGCGUUCUGUAAGCCUGUGAAGGUGUGUCGUGAGGCAUGCUGGAGGUAUCAGAAGUGCGAAUGCUGACAUAAGUAACGAUAAAGCGGGUGAAAAGCCCGCUCGCCGGAAGACCAAGGGUUCCUGUCCAACGUUAAUCGGGGCAGGGUGAGUCGACCCCUAAGGCGAGGCCGAAAGGCGUAGUCGAUGGGAAACGGGUUAAUAUUCCCGUACUUGGUGUUACUGCGAAGGGGGGACGGAGAAGGCUAUGUUGGCCGGGCGACGGUUGUCCCGGUUUAAGCGUGUAGGUGUGUGUUCCAGGUAAAUCCGGUUCACUUUAACACUGAGGCGUGACGACGAGGCACUACGGUGCUGAAGCAACAAAUGCCCUGCUUCCAGGAAAAGCCUCUAAGCAUCAGGUAACACGAAAUCGUACCCCAAACCGACACAGGUGGUCAGGUAGAGAAUACCAAGGCGCUUGAGAGAACUCGGGUGAAGGAACUAGGCAAAAUGGUGCCGUAACUUCGGGAGAAGGCACGCUGACACGUAGGUGAAGUGAUUUACUCAUGGAGCUGAAGUCAGUCGAAGAUACCAGCUGGCUGCAACUGUUUAUUAAAAACACAGCACUGUGCAAACACGAAAGUGGACGUAUACGGUGUGACGCCUGCCCGGUGCCGGAAGGUUAAUUGAUGGGGUCAGCGCAAGCGAAGCUCCUGAUCGAAGCCCCGGUAAACGGCGGCCGUAACUAUAACGGUCCUAAGGUAGCGAAAUUCCUUGUCGGGUAAGUUCCGACCUGCACGAAUGGCGUAAUGAUGGCCAGGCUGUCUCCACCCGAGACUCAGUGAAAUUGAACUCGCUGUGAAGAUGCAGUGUACCCGCGGCAAGACGGAAAGACCCCGUGAACCUUUACUAUAGCUUGACACUGAACAUUGAGCCUUGAUGUGUAGGAUAGGUGGGAGGCUUUGAAGUGUGGACGCCAGUCUGCAUGGAGCCGACCUUGAAAUACCACCCUUUAAUGUUUGAUGUUCUAACGUGGACCCGUAAUCCGGGUUGCGGACAGUGUCUGGUGGGUAGUUUGACUGGGGCGGUCUCCUCCUAAAGAGUAACGGAGGAGCACGAAGGUUGGCUAAUCCUGGUCGGACAUCAGGAGGUUAGUGCAAUGGCAUAAGCCAGCUUGACUGCGAGCGUGACGGCGCGAGCAGGUGCGAAAGCAGGUCAUAGUGAUCCGGUGGUUCUGAAUGGAAGGGCCAUCGCUCAACGGAUAAAAGGUACUCCGGGGAUAACAGGCUGAUACCGCCCAAGAGUUCAUAUCGACGGCGGUGUUUGGCACCUCGAUGUCGGCUCAUCACAUCCUGGGGCUGAAGUAGGUCCCAAGGGUAUGGCUGUUCGCCAUUUAAAGUGGUACGCGAGCUGGGUUUAGAACGUCGUGAGACAGUUCGGUCCCUAUCUGCCGUGGGCGCUGGAGAACUGAGGGGGGCUGCUCCUAGUACGAGAGGACCGGAGUGGACGCAUCACUGGUGUUCGGGUUGUCAUGCCAAUGGCACUGCCCGGUAGCUAAAUGCGGAAGAGAUAAGUGCUGAAAGCAUCUAAGCACGAAACUUGCCCCGAGAUGAGUUCUCCCUGAGACUUAGAGUCUCCUGAAGGAACGUUGAAGACGACGACGUUGAUAGGCCGGGUGUGUAAGCGCAGCGAUGCGUUGAGCUAACCGGUACUAAUGAACCGUGAGGCUUAACCUU
rnacentral:rRNA from 1 species